GACGAACGCUGGCGGCGUGCUUAACACAUGCAAGUCGAACGGAAAGGCCCUGCUUUUGUGGGGUGCUCGAGUGGCGAACGGGUGAGUAACACGUGAGUAACCUGCCCUUGACUUUGGGAUAACUUCAGGAAACUGGGGCUAAUAUCGGAUAGGAGCUCCUGCUGCAUGGUGGGGGUUGGAAAGUUUGGGCGGUUGGGGCUGGACUCGCGGCUUAUCGGCUUGUUGGUGGGGUAGUGGCUUACCAAGGCUUUGACGGGUAGCCGGCCUGUGAGGGUGACCGGCCACAUUGGGACUGAGAUACGGCCCAGACUGCUACGGGAGGCAGCAGUGGGGAGUAUUGCACAAUGGGCGGAAGCCUGAUGCAGAAACGCCGCGUGCGGGAUGACGGCCUUCGGGUUGUAAACCGCUUUCGCCUGUGACGAAGCGUGAGUGACGGUAAUGGAUAAAGAAGCACCGGCUAACUACGUG
rnacentral:rRNA from 1 species